rnacentral:rRNA from 1 species
GACGAACGCUGGCGGCGUGCUUAACACAUGCAAGUCGAACGAGAGCGUAGAGAAAGCUUGCUUUUUCUACAUUCUAGUGGCAAACGGGUGAGUAACGCGUAAACAACCUGCCCUACGGAUGGGGACAACAGCUGGAAACGGCUGCUAAUACCGAAUACGUUCCGAAAGUCGCAUGACUAUCGGAAGAAAGGAUGGCCUCUAUUUAUAAGCUAUCGCCGGAGGAGGGGUUUGCGUCUGAUUAGCUAGUUGGAGGGGUAACGGCCCACCAAGGCGACGAUCAGUAGCCGGUCUGAGAGGAUGAACGGCCACAUUGGAACUGAAACACGGUCCAGACUCCUACGGGAGGCAGCAGUGGGGAAUCUUCCGCAAUGGGCGAAAGCCUGACGGAGCAACGCCGCGUGAGUGAAGACGGCCUUCGGGUUGUAAAGCUCUGUUAUACGGGACGAAUAAUCUUGUGGUUAAUACCCAUGAGAAGUGACGGUACCGUAAGAGAAAGCCACGGCUAACUACGUG